UAGGGAAUCUUCCGCAAUGGGCGAAAGCCUGACGGAGCAACGCCGCGUGAGUGAUGAAGGUCUUCGGAUCGUAAAACUCUGUUAUUAGGGAAGAACAAAUGUGUAAGUAACUAUGCACGCCUUGACGGUACCUAAUCAGAAAGCCACGGCUAACUACGUGCCAGCAGCCGCGGUAAUACGUAGGUGGCAAGCGUUAUCCGGAAUUAUUGGGCGUAAAGCGCGCGUAGGCGGUUUUUUAAGUCUGAUGUGAAAGCCCACGGCUCAACCGUGGAGGGUCAUUGGAAACUGGAAAACUUGAGUGCAGAAGAGGAAAGUGGAAUUCCAUGUGGAGCGGUGAAAUGCGCAGAGAUAUGGAGGAACACCAGUGGCGAAGGCGACUUUCUGGUCUGUAACUGACGCUGAUGUGCGAAAGCGUGGGGAUCAAACAGG
rnacentral:rRNA from 1 species